rnacentral:SRP_RNA from 1 species
GCUGGGUGUUGUGGCAGGUGCCUGUAGUCCCAGCUACUCGGGAGGCUGAGGCAAGAGAAUCGCCUAAGCCCAGGAGUUGGAGGUUGCUGUGAGCUGUGUCACCACGGCAACAUAGUGAGACUGUGUCUCAAAAAGAAAAAAGAAAGAAAGAAAUAGAAAAAACUGUGGUAUAUUUAAAUAUUUACUUUUUUUUUUUUAAGAGACAGAGUCUCACUUUAUCGCUCUCGGUAGAGUACUGUUGCAUCACAGCUCACAGCAACCUCCAGCUCUUGGGCUUAGGCGAUUCUCUUGCCUCAG